AGGACGAACGCUGGCGGCGUGGAUUAGGCAUGCAAGUCGCGCGACGGGCCUUCGGGCUACGGAGCGGCGAACGGGUGAGUAACACGUGAAUAACCUGUCCCUACAUUCCGGAUAAUUGGCCGAAAGGCCUUGUAAUACGGGGGAGGGUCGUUGAGGGGCAUCUCUUGACGAAGGAAGGCGCAAGCCGUGCGGGGAGGGUUCGCGGAUUAUCAGCUAGUUGGUGGGGUAACGGCCUACCAAGGCGACGACGGGUAG
rnacentral:rRNA from 1 species